GGUCAUGGCAACAGUGGCAGGCAUUAAAGGUAAGAGUGCAGUCUUAGCAGAUGAAUCAUUUGUGGGAACAGCACCUGGUUGCGAAAUUCCUCUGACACAUGUUUCUUAAAGAGAAUGGAAGAAUCAGACAGGAUCUCAAUAUGUAGCCAAACUAACCGGGAACCUAUCCUUCCUAAGAGCCUCACCUUCACCUUCCAGAGGGCUGAGGAUACAGGAAAGAAGAUGACAUGCCCCAUGCCAAGAAAUGCUGAGAGCCACCACUUUGAAGAAGGAAGAAAUGAUUCUCACCCAGAACCUUCAGAGGACUGUGGUGGCCCUACACAUCUUUAGUCAGCAGAAUGAGACGGCAUGUUCAUGUUGUGUCCGGUGACUUGCCUGUGAAACAGAUGGAAGGAGGAUCUUCUACGGAGCUGUCAGGCAUCUAAAGACACAGUUAUAAAUUAGACUUGGCUCCACUUGUUCUUAUACGGACAGGAGUGUCCUAGUUGCGUUUCUAUUGCUUCGAUAAAGAUCAUGACCAGAAAUAACCUAGAAGGGGAAGGUUUGCUUGCCUUGUGUUUCUGUGUCACAGUCUAUCACCAAGGGAAGCCUGGUCAGGAGGAACCUGGAAGCCAGGGAGGAACCUGGAGGCAAGAACGGAAGCAGAGGCCAUGGAGGGAGCUGUUCAUUGGCUUGAUAUCCAUGGCUUGCUCAGCCUGCUUUAUUGUACAACCCAGGACCACCUGACCAGGGGUGCCACUACCAUGGUGGACUGGGCCCUCUCGCAUCAAUCAUUAAUCAAGAAAAUGCACCCCCAGAUUUGUCUAUUGGCCAAUCCUUUUUUUGUUUGUUUGUUUUGUUUUUUGUUUUUUCAAGACAGGGUUUCCCUAUGUAGCUUUGUAGACCAGACUGGCCUCCAUUUCACAGAAAUCCGCUUGCCUCUGCGUCUGCAUGGGAAACCCUUUUUAUUGUAGAGGGACAAGAUAACCAUGCCAGCCUCAAGCCAUCUAGGAUCACCCAAAGCCGUACAAACUUCAGGGGCAUUCAUGUGGGAAUGUGGGGUGGGGAUUAUUUGCUGAAAGACUUCUUCCUAAAUGGAAAUGACUGAAAUUAGAGCAGGGAUGGCCAUGAAGUCACCUCAGAAAUUGCAAAAGCUAAACUACGGUACUAUAGUAGAUGUGGUAAAGAAGGAGAAAGAAGAAAUAUAUUUCAAAUAGGUGAGCAGCAGGUUAAAUGCACAUUUAAUCAAUGCAGCCUUCUGAGUCGGAGUCAUAGAAGAUGAAUUUCAUUCCAUCUGGUCCAAACCACACUUUCUGUGUCUGUUCAAAUUAAGCAACCCCCCCCUCGUAUGCCCCAUUUUUGUGUUUAAUUCCAAAUAGAGUCUAGUUGGCACCCAA